UACAGAGGUCCCAAGCGUUGUUCGGAUUCACUGGGCGUAAAGGGUGCGUAGGUGGUGAGGUAAGUUUGAUGUGAAAUCUCCGGGCUCAACCCGGAAAUGGCAUUGAAUACUAUCUCGCUAGAGAGUCGGAGGGGGGAUUGGAAUACUUGGUGUAGCAGUGAAAUGCGUAGAUAUCAAGUGGAACACCAGUGGCGAAGGCGAGUCCCUGGACGACUUCUGACACUGAGGCACGAAAGCUAGGGGAGCAAACAGG
rnacentral:rRNA from 1 species